UGAACUAUACAUUGAUUUUAGUUUUAUUAGGAAUGCAAUUGCUGAUGCAUUAUUUGCCAUUUGUUUUAAGAUGCCUUUUUAUUUUUCUGCAAUUUGCAUAUAUUUUAUGAAAUUGAGAUGGAUUUAAUUAGGCAAUAUACUGAAGAUGCUAUUGGAAAAUAAUUGAUUGUUUUGAGUUAUUUUCAGCCUUUCAAGCCUUCUGUAUAAUGAUAAAUUGGACAGCUGAAGAACCGUAUUGAUCCUGAUGUCUUCAUAAAUAACUUUCAUCAGCAGAUGCACGUCCCAAUUCUAAUGAUAAAUUACCCCUUUGUCACUGGGGAGCUUGGGCAGAGUGUUGUCCAGUGACUCUGACCAUGCUUUUUCUAUUUUGUCAGCACAGCACAUACUUAGAAACAUUAGUUAUCUUGGGAGUGCUUCCUAUCAGGGUCUUGUCUUAGUAGUCUCUGAGGUAGCAUAAUUGUAACAAGAUUAUGGGAAGAGUGCUGACUUUGAAUUGAACCUACAGGGAAUGUACUAUUGUGUUUACGAAGAAACCUGUGCUCAGAAAGCAGGGGACAUAUAACCUUUAACCUUAGUUCAUUUUUCAUACUUGUCAAAUCUAACUGGACCAAAAGGAAAAAAAAGCAAUGGUUACUCAUUAGGAACAUCAUACCCUUCUAAAAUCAAUGAUUUUCCAUACUUAUCUUCCUGACCACAACUCCUUUUUAUGGACAAAACACUAAUGCCUUCCGUUUUAACUUUUUGUUAUCUCUAAGCAAGUGUCAUACUCGGCUUAUCCUAGGACUUCAGUUACUGAAAAUGGGUAGUGGUUUCAUAUUGUUGCAGUGUUGCUCUGCUGAUAUACUUAUGGCUCAUCUCCAAAUAAACAAUUUCUGCUGCUGAGAUUAUGGUGGAAUUGUGAAUAAGGAAAAUGACUUGAUUUGCUGUUAAUGAAUGUUUGAAGUACAUGAUGUGUGGAUUUCUUUUUGUAAAGUAAUGAGCAAAGUUGGUGAGUGGGUGCUUGUCUCCAAUGGCUUCACAAGUCCUCUGCCUGAAUUCCAUUAUACUGUUCCUUUGCAGACAGUAAGGUGUCAUUACAUGAACUCUUGAAAUCAAAACCAAGUAUUUUUCAUGUAUUGUACAUAUGAUACUUGGGGAGCUUCAACAGGCUAGCAGCCAGGAAGCUUGUGUCCUAUUAAAGGCAUAUGUACAUCCUUGUAGAUUUUGAAAAAUUACUUUGUAAGUUUAUCUCUCUGGAGGGAGGAGGGGAGAAAAGCAACAGAUAAAUCCCCACUUGUUAUCCAGCAGUCCCUUUUUCAAGGAUCAGAAUUCUCUUUUAAUGUUCAGAAGUUACUUUAAAAUAUGCACCUGCAUUUGGCAAAUUAUCAUGCUUAAACAAACUGAUUUGCUGACCCAGGUAGCCUUAUGCAAGUCUUUUCUUAGCCUGAAGCUAGCCACCUCCCAUGCAAUAGUAAUUCUGUAUCAUAAACAAGUAAUUUUGGCAAAAUAAUAAUUUCUUCUUUGUUGUUUACCCAGGUGAGUGUUGUUUCCUUGUAAAUUUAUGAAUCUGAGAUGCCAGAACAUAAUACACCGAAGAAUGAAGACUUUACCUAGGAUUUCAUGUGAGAAUUGAGUCUCCUGUGAUAUUUUCACAAGUUCCAUGCACUUUCUACAGCCAUGAUGUUGUGUCAUCUGCUAAAGUCAGAAGAACGCACGUGAGGGUUACAGCAAGCUUCUCCAGGAACCUGGUAGAAGUGGACACACAGCAUAUUUCCUUUUCGUUCUACUGCAAAGAAUUUGCUUAAGUUGAGGCAUGCUCAGUUGUGUUUCGGUAUGCACUGACUUUGAGAUUGAGGCUUAUAUCUGCAUGGUCCACAAACAAUUUUCAUCUUCAUGAAGAUUCAUUAAUCUAAGACUUGCCAUUUAUUGUGCUUGUUUAUUAGAGAGGUUUCCUACUAUGUAGGGAAUUGUAUAGAAUGCCCUUGAGACAUUGGGCAAGAUAUUUCAUGCCUAUUUCACUUAUUCGGAUUGUAAGCUCUUUAGGGCAGAGAUUGCCUAAUUGUACUGUACAAACAAAGCUGUCUUAAAUUUUACUUUGGGCAUGUAAUUGCUCCUGGAAUAUCAUCUGAUCUCUACACUGCCUGUAUGUUUGACUGAAAUUCAGAUCUGCAAAAAUACAGUAUCUUUAGAGAAGUA